rnacentral:rRNA from 1 species
AGAGUUUGAUCAUGGCUCAGAGUGAACGCUGGCGGCAUGCCUAACACAUGCAAGUCGAACGCGUGGAGCAAUCCACGAGUGGCGCACGGGUGAGUAACGCGUGGGAACCUGCCCCGGAGUGUGGGAUAACCCGGCGAAAGCCGGGCUAAUACCGCAUACGGCCCUCGGUUGAGAGACCGUUGGCGAAAGAUUUAUCGCUCUGGGAGGGGCCCGCGUCGGAUUAGCUAGUUGGUGAGGUAACGGCUCACCAAGGCGAUGAUCCGUAGCUGGUCUGAGAGGAUGAUCAGCCACACUGGGACUGAGACACGGCCCAGACUCCUACGGGAGGCAGCAGUGGGGAAUAUUGGACAAUGGGGGCAACCCUGAUCCAGCAAUGCCGCGUGAGUGAUGAAGGCCUUCGGGUUGUAAAGCUCUUUCGGCGGGGACGAUGAUGACGGUACCCGCAGAAGAAGCCCCGGCUAACUUCGUGCCAGCAGCCGCGGUAAUACGAAGGGGGCGAGCGUUGUUCGGAAUUACUGGGCGUAAAGGGCGCGCAGGCGGCCUUAGAAGUCAGGCGUGAAAGCCCCGGGCUCAACCUGGGAACAGCGCUUGAUACUCUGGGGCUGGAGUACGGGAGAGGAGAGUGGAAUUCCCAGUGUAGAGGUGAAAUUCGUAGAUAUUGGGAAGAACACCGGUGGCGAAGGCGGCUCUCUGGACCGUAACUGACGCUGAGGCGCGAAAGCGUGGGGAGCAAACAGGAUUAGAUACCCUAGUAGUCC